CACCAAAGACACUUCACCAUCAGUGAUCACAAGAUCAUCCAAGGACUUGGUUUAUUACAGUCCCUGUGGCAAGCAGUUUUCUGCAUGGUCAGCAUUGAAGGCCAUAUUGUCUUUGAGAGGGCCCAGCCAACAUUCCAGACAGGACAGUGUUGUCCAUCUUCUUCAUCUUCAGCCUCCAGUAUCAACAUGAGGCAGCCAAGACUUUGGAGUUCAUUUAACGAAAGGGGCACAAAAGCCGGUCAUGGGAAGAUGGUAUCCAAAAAAACAGGAAAGACCAUUCAAAAGAAAAAGUGACAAUGUUCAGGUUUCCACCUUCAUCAAAAACUUGAUGAACUUUGAGUGACAUCUC